rnacentral:rRNA from 1 species
CCUACGGGCGGCUGCAGUGGGGAAUAUUGCACAAUGGGCGCAAGCCUGAUGCAGCCAUGCCGCGUGUGUGUAGAAGGCCUUCGGGUUGUAAAGCACUUUCAGCGGGGAGGAAGGCGGUGAGGUUAAUAACCUCAUCGAUUGACGUUACCCGCAGAAGAAGCACCGGCUAACUCCGUGCCAGCAGCCGCGGUAAUACGGAGGGUGCAAGCGUUAAUCGGAAUUACUGGGCGUAAAGCGCACGCAGGCGGUCUGUCAAGUCGGAUGUGAAAUCCCCGGGCUCAACCUGGGAACUGCAUUCGAAACUGGCAGGCUAGAGUCUUGUAGAGGGGGGUAGAAUGCCAGGUGUAGCGGUGAAAUGCGUAGAGAUCUGGAGGAAUACCGGUGGCGAAGGCGGCCCCCUGGACAAAGACUGACGCUCAGGUGCGAAAGCGUGGGGAGCAAACAGGAUUAGAUACCCUAGUAGUC